GGAGUGUGCGAGCGUUAAUCGGAAUUACUGGGCGUAAAGCGCGCGUAGGGCGGCUUGGUCAGUCGGGAUGUGAAAGCCCCGGGCUUAACCUGGGAAUUGCAUUCGAUACUGCCCGAACUAGAGUAUGGGAGAGGGAAGUGGAAUUUCCGGUGUAGCGGUGAAAUGCGUAGAUAUCGGAAGGAACACCAGUGGCGAAGGCGACUUCCUGGCCCAAUACUGACGCUGAGGUGCGAAAGCGUGGGUAGCGAACAGGAUUAGAUACCCUGGUAGUCCACGCCGUAAACGAUGAGAACUAGAUGUCGGGAAGAUUUACUUCUCGGUGUCGCAGCUAACGCGUUAAGUUCUCCGCCUGGGGAGUACGGUGGCAACACUA
rnacentral:rRNA from 1 species